AGGACGAACGCUGGCGGCGUGCUUAACACAUGCAAGUCGAACGGAAAGGCCCGCUUGCGGGUACUCGAGUGGCGAACGGGUGAGUAACACGUGGGCAACCUGCCCCUAGCUCUGGGAUAACAUUUGGAAACAGAUGCUAAUACCGGAUACCAACCUCUGCGGGCAUCCGCGGUGGUUGAAAGUUUUUCGGCUAGGGAUGGGCCCGCGGCCUAUCAGCUUGUUGGUGGGUAAUAGCCCACAAGGCGACGACGGGUA
rnacentral:rRNA from 1 species